rnacentral:rRNA from 1 species
AAAUUGAAGAGUUUGAUCAUGGCUCAGAUUGAACGCUGGCGGCAGGCCUAACACAUGCAAGUCGAACGGUAACAGGAAUCAGCUUGCUGUUUCGCUGACGAGUGGCGGACGGGUGAGUAAUGUCUGGGAAACUGCCUGAUGGAGGGGGAUAACUACUGGAAACGGUAGCUAAUACCGCAUAACGUCGCAAGACCAAAGAGGGGGACCUUCGGGCCUCUUGCCAUCGGAUGUGCCCAGAUGGGAUUAGCUAGUAGGUGGGGUAACGGCUCACCUAGGCGACGAUCCCUAGCUGGUCUGAGAGGAUGACCAGCCACACUGGAACUGAGACACGGUCCAGACUCCUACGGGAGGCAGCAGUGGGGAAUAUUGCACAAUGGGCG